rnacentral:snoRNA from 1 species
AAGUGCAUACUUUCAGGGAUCAUUUCUAUAGUUAGUUCCUUCAGAACAUUUCAGAGUGCUGGUUUGGUAGUCAUGAAUUUCUUCAGAUGUUCUUCAUCAUGGAAGUAUCUUAUUUCUCUGUCAGUUUUGAAAGAUAGUUUUGCAGGGUACAUCAAUCUGG